UUUUUUUUUUUUUUUUUUUUUUUUUUUUUUUUUUUUUUUUUUUUUUUUUUUUUUUUUUUUUUUUUUUUUUUUUUUUUUUUUUUUUUUUUUUUUUUGUGUUAAGAGAACCUUAAGUUGAAAGAAAAAAAAGAAAAACAAAAGUUGUAAUCACUUGAAUCAAACUUUCCGUACUUUCAAACUUAACAUUAAUUUCAGAAAAUUUUUAUUCCACAAUCUAUAUGACUUGAUGGUCAUAAUAAUAAUAAAAUGACUCAUACUUUUCUUAUUUGAAAGAUGGUCUUUGAUACGUAACUUAUCACACAGGAAUGUAAAUAGAACAUAUUCGAAAGUGGGAGGAAUUUUCAACUUUAGUCUGGAGCUUCCUUAUCUUGGCAGAUCGGGGCAGAUUUGAAAUAUGUUGAUUUUUAUUCCAUAAAUUUACUUCUUUUUAGGGGGUAUUUGGUUCAGCGAAUAAAUGUGGAAAAAAGUUUUCCAUGAAAAACCUAUUUUUCAGUUUGUCGUCCGUUUAGUUUCAAAGAAAAUUAGCUUUUUUGAAAAUUUAUUUUUCAAAUUUCAUUGUGAAUUAAUAAUUUUAUUUUUCAGAUUUUUUUAAGGAAAAUGAAAAUGCUGAUUUUCUAUAAAAUUUGAAAACAAGUUUUUCAAAAAAGCUAAUUUUUUUUGAAACAAAUGGUCGGAAAAUUGAAAGAGAAAUUUUCUAUGGUAAAUUUUUUUCUAGAUAAAUAUUUUUUUUCACGCAUUUCUGAGGAACCAAAUAGCCCUUUACCAUUUUAUUCAGAAUACUUCAGGACAAAAGUAGGGAUGCAAGUGGAUCUGGGCUGGUGGAGCUCUCACCCUAAUCCGCUCCGAAUGGAGUGUUAAGUGGGAACAAAAAAUAUAGAAAAAUAUAAUACACUCCGAAUCCGUCCCGAUCCGCCAAGUAAAUAGAGCGGGAGGCGGGAGAUCCUUUUCUUCAAUCCGUCAAAAAUCUAUCAAAAAUUUGCUCCCACUCCAACCUCUCCAUCUGCAGCGGUAAGUGAAAAUAACAUGAAAAAUAAUCCGCCUCGAAUCUGCCCUACCC
rnacentral:lncRNA from 1 species